CAACUUGGCAUACCUCAGCAUUGUGUGCAGUGUUUCCUUAAAAAAAAAGCUAAGAAAACUGUACAAAUGGAGAAGAAAAGAAGGAGUGGGCCUAAAAACUAUUUGCAGAAGAAAUGAAAGUCAUGUCUUUGAAUUGGAAAAAAGAAAUCCAACCAAGACCUGAUACAGGACCUGAACGAUGCAUCUGGUCAUUCAUUUGAUACUCUUCACUGAAGCCCCAUCAGAAAUGUGAAGCCUGAGCGAUACAACAACAGUCCAACACACUCUGCAUGAACUGUUCAGUGUCCUCAUUUCCUUCCAGUGCUCCUGGGAAUGUCCUGAAUCAGUCUGGCCCCUGCUCCCGACCCCGAGCCACAGAGAAACACUUUCUCUGUGAAACCACACAAAAGAUGCAGUCAGUGUGUGUGUCGGGAGGAUGCUGUCAUUUUCUCACCACAUGGUCACACUGAAGUGCUUCAACGACAAGGUCAGCACUGCAGAAUGCCAAAGAUACACUGUAAGGGGGGGCGCUCUCGGGCCAGAGUUCCCCACACAGACACCACUAUUACCGCACAAUGGUGGUCUGUCUGACUAAACCCUCGGAGCAGCUCGUCUGGGUACAUUCAACCCUUAAAACACCACCGGCUGUAAUCCCCUUGUUAAUGAGCAGAAGCCUGGAAAACAACAAGAUCCCAUCCGAUGGAUAAAUGUGAGAAUAAGUGCAGGGGUCCAUGAUAUCACAGCCCAUUCUGAGCCUCAUGGAGCUUUAAGAGUAGCUAAAGUCCACCUUCUUAUAUUAGUCUUACUCAUAUGUGCAGUCACGCUGUCUACAACCCAACCUUAUUCAAUGUAUAAUCACAUUUACCUUCUUUAUCUCCUAUUCAUACCCCAAGAGGAGGCUUAACUGAAAGAGUAUAAUCCUAAAAAUCUUUGAUAGACUUCCCGUUAGUCUGCAUAUUGAGCACUUAGUGAAAAAGCUGAAGGUUAGACUGAGUUUAUUAUGGAAAUAGGGUCUUCUUUUAAUGUAGCACCUAGGAAUACACUUGUACAGGC
ensembl:lncRNA